ACUGCAGAGCUCUGCGAACUCUAUUAAUAGCUGGGUACCUUUCAGGAAGCAUUAUGCAGGGCGAGGAAUAACAUAAAAAUACAGCAGGAAUGGCUGUGACAGGGAGUUGGGUGGGAUGAAAACCCUGAUCCAAAGUAGAAUCCUUGUAUUCCUGUCUCUCUAAAUUUCGGACCCAUCAAUUCUCGCAGCUGCACAGACCAGGCAGGCCUACAGGAGGCUUUCCCGUGCAAAAAUAUCUCCAGUCCAAAGAACAAAUGAAGGAAGAUGAUCCACAGAUUCUACACUGUAUGUGUCCUGGGGAAAAGAAAAAAAUAACUCCUACCUAACCUCUAGCUCCCCACUUUUCCAAGAUAAUGCUCUCUCCAUCAGCAGGGCUGCGUUCAACCCCAGAUCGACAGGUUUCCUCCAAGGACUCCAGUUUUCUUCGGCAAUCCUUAGGUGUGCAGUAAAAUGAACUGCCUUCAGAUGGACCACCUUUCUGUUCAGGGUGUACGCCACCCCUGUGCCCUGUCCUGCCUGGGAUACGCCACUCUCUGACCUUA